rnacentral:rRNA from 1 species
CAGUAGCCGCGGGAAUACCGAGGGUGCGAGCGUUAAUCGGAUUUACUGGGCGUAAAGCGUGCGUAGGCGGCUAAUUGAGUCGGAUGUGAAAUCCCCGAGCUUAACUUGGGAAUUGCAUUCGAUACUGGUUAGCUAGAGUGUGGGAGAGGAUGGUAGAAUUCCAGGUGUAGCGGUGAAAUGCGUAGAGAUCUGGAGGAAUACCGAUGGCGAAGGCAGCCAUCUGGCCUAACACUGACGCUGAGGUACGAAAGCAUGGGGAGCAAACAGGAUUAGAUACCCCUGUAGUCCCUGUCUCUUAUAC